GUGGACUUGAGAGCUGCGGCGUCAUUGCCGCUCUCUUCAAAUGCAUGAGCGGACUCUUUCUUGUGUCGUAGUCGGUGUGAUAAUUGUCUUCACCGCUGCCCUCGGGCGACGCGCACGACUGGGAUUUGCUUCUAGCCGUCUUCGGACAACGUAAUUGACAACUUGACCUCAAAUCGGGUAGGACUACCCGCUGAACUUAA
rnacentral:misc_RNA from 1 species